AGCAGGGAGGUGGUUGAAGAAGUGCAGUCAUCUCUUGUCCCUUGCAAAGAAGAGCUGCAGCUGAUCUCUUUGUUUCCAGCUGAAAUGGAGGUGGAUUUUACAAGUUCCCUUUUCUAAACACAUGGUGACCAGAGCAAGGAGCCUGAAGGAAUGGACUUGAUAUAGUCAGGGAGAGGUGUGGGAAGGAAGAGCUGAGGAUGGACUGACAGCUGCUGCUCAGGUCCUGCUGUGCUUCCUGCUGGUGUCAAAAGCAAUUGAAAAACUGGCACAAAAGAUCACAGGAAAGAGGAGAUUUCUGAUGCUGAGAUGCUGCAGAUUGUUCAGAGAUGGAAUUGGAGAAUAAUUGAAGUUGGAAAAGACUGCCAAGAUCACCAAGUCCAACCACCAACCCAUCACCUCCGUGCUCCCCAAACCAUGUCCUUUGUUGCCACAUCUACCCUCUUCUUGAAAACUUCCAGGUAUAGUGACUCCAAAACCUCCCUGGGCAGCUCCAGUUGAUCUGGAAAGUCCAGCUGAAUGUUAUCCACCCUACUUCCCACUGUAGCCAACAAAAUUCUGCUGUGGGUCCAAAUGUUAAUAGCUCCAUUAUGAACAGUAGAAGAACCUGUUUGUGGCCAUUGGUGAGAGGCACUGAUCGCUUUCUGACCUUGCAGCAGUGGGAUUUGAAAAUGUAGAGCAAUGGGUGUAAAUCAAUCCAUGGGCUCUUGUCAAAUCAGCUGUAAUGCUCUAUGAUGAGCUGAGCUACCAAAGAAGGAAGGCAAGUCACAAUCAGUGCUCAGUCAAAAUGUCAAGAAAGGGUUCAUUUUUUGCAUAUAUUCCAUGAUGUAGAACACAGAACUCAUGCAAUUUGUAUAGAGUUUUAUAGUGUGUGUGUAUGGGUAUAUCUAUAUGCAUACGUAUGUACAUGUAUGUUUGUCAUUAAGAAUGAACAGAGAUGACUUGGAUGAUUCUUAAGGAGUAAAUACCUGCAACAACCUGUGCAAUCUGGACAGCCCCCCCAUGCUGGGGGGCAUUCAUCAGGAACACAGCUCUGCAGAAAGGAGGUGGAGGUUGUGGUGGAUGGUAAAUUAAACAGAAGCCAACUGUGUGCCUUUGUUGGUAAGACUAUAGCAUUAGGCAAAGCAGAUUGAGGGAGGUAGUCCUUCCCUUUUGCUCUGUGCUGGUGAGGUCACACCUGGAGCGCUGGGUCUGGUUCUGACCCCCACUCCAGUAUGGGAGACCUGGGCAUGCUGGAAAAUCCAACAUAGGGCCGUAAGCAGCUCUGCUACAAGGAGAGGCUGGGGCUACUCAGCUUGGAGCAGGGGAGAUCCUAUCUGUGUCCAUAAAUACCUGAAGGGAGAAGUAGAGAAGAUAGGUUCUUGUUAGUGGUGCCCAGUGCUGGGGCAAGAGGCAAUGGGUACAAAUAGAGCCUCGGGAGGUACGCUCUGACCAUCAGGAAGAACUUCUUUACUUUUAUUGAACAGCCACUGCAGAGGCUGCCCAGGGGCUAUGAAGUCUCCUCCUUGGUGAUCUCCAACAACCAGCUGGGUGUGGGCCUGAGCACCUUGCUCUUGAUGUCCCUGCUGGAGCAGGGCUUGGGCCAGAUGGACCCAAAGGUGCUGCCAACCUCAGCCAUUCUGUGGCUCUGAGAGCCUCUUCCCUGUUUCCCCUCUCUUUGAAACAGACAUCAAUCCAUUGGCAGUGUUAUUGCUAAAUAAAUGCUUCCA
ensembl:lncRNA